UACGUAGGUCCCGAGCGUUGUCCGGAUUUAUUGGGCGUAAAGCGAGCGCAGGUGGUUUAUUAAGUCUGGUGUAAAAGGCAGUGGCUCAACCAUUGUAUGCAUUGGAAACUGGUAGACUUGAGUGCAGUAGAGGAGAGUGGAAUUCCAUGUGUAGCGGUGAAAUGCGUAGAUAUAUGGAGGAACACCGGUGGCGAAAGCGACUCUCUGGUCUGUAACUGACGCUGAGGCUCGAAAGCGUGGGGAGCAAAAAGG
rnacentral:rRNA from 1 species